rnacentral:rRNA from 1 species
GCGGCGGACGGGUGAGUAACGCGUGGGUAACCUACCCUGUACACACGGAUAACAUACCGAAAGGUAUGCUAAUACGGGAUAAUAUAUUUGAGAGGCAUCUCUUAAAUAUCAAAGGUGAGCCAGUACAGGAUGGACCCGCGUCUGAUUAGCUAGUUGGUAAGGUAACGGCUUACCAAGGCGACGAUCAGUAGCCGACCUGAGAGGGUGAUCGGCCACAUUGGAACUGAGACACGGUCCAAACUCCUACGGGAGGGCAGCAUG